CUGCUGUUAUACAGAAAGAAAAGAUAUAGGAGUGGAAAGCCUAUAUUAUGACGGUACUGUAUCAGAAAGUGACGGCAAACUAUGUGCCAGCAGCCGCGGUAAUACAUAGGUCACAAGCGUUAUCCGAAAUUAUUGGGCGUAAAGCGUCCGUAGGUUGUUUGUUAAGUCUGGAGUUAAAGACCGGUGCUCAACGCCGGCACGCUUUAGAUACUGGCAAACUAGAGUUAUAAAGAGGUAAGUGGAAUUUCAUGUGAAGCGGUGGAAUGCGUAGAUAUAUGAAAGAACACCAAUGGCGAAGGCAGCUUACUGGUUAUAUACUGACACUGAGGGACGAAAGCGUGGGGAGCAAACAGGAUUAGAUACCCUGGUAGUCCACGCCGUAAACGAUGAUCAUUAGUUGGUGGGGGAACCCUCGCUAACGCAGCUAACGCAUUAAAUGAUCCGCCUGAGUAGUAUGCUCGCAAGAGUGAAACUUAAAGGAAUUGACGGGGACCCGCACAAGCGGUGGAGCAUGUGGUUUAAUUUGACGAUACGCGUAGAACCUUACCCACUCUUGACAUCCCUUGCAAAGCUAUAGAGAUAUAGUGGAGGUUAACAAGGUGACAGAUGGUGCAUGGUUGUCGUCAGCUCGUGUCGUGAGAUGUUCGGUUAAGUCCUGCAACGAGCGCAACCCCUAUCCUUAUUUACUAACAUUAAGUUGAGAACUAUACGGAUACUGCUCAGGUAACUGGGAGGAAGGUGGGGAUGACGUCAAAUCAUCAUGCCUCUUACGAGUGGGGCAACACACGUGCUACAAUGGCCGGUACAAAGAGACGCAAUAUGGUGACAUGGAACAAAUCUGAAAAACCGGUCUCAGUUCGGAUUGAAGGCUGCAAUUCGCCUUCAUGAAGUCGGAAUCGCUAGUAAUCGUAGAUCAGCUACGCUACGGUGAAUACGUUCUCGGGUCUUGUACACACCGCCCGUCACACCAUGGGAGCCGGUAAUGCCCAAAGUC
rnacentral:rRNA from 1 species